CCAGACUCCUACGGGAGGCAGCAGUGGGGAAUAUUGGGCAAUGGGCGCAAGCCUGACCCAGCAACGUCGCGUGAAGGAAGAAGGCUUUCCGGCUGUAAACUUCUUUUCUCAGCGACGAACCAAGUGACGGUACCUGACGAAUAAGCCACGGCUACACACGUGACAGCAGCAGCGGUAAUACGUAGGUGCGAAGCCUCAUCCGGCUUUAUCGCGUGUCAAGGACGUGUAGGCGGGAGCCCAAGUCAGAUGUGAAAACUCGUGGCUCAACCCUGAGCCUGCAUUUGAAACUGUGUUUCUUGAGUGCUGGAGAUGCGAUCGGAAUUCCGUGUGUAGCGGUAGAAUGCGUAGAUAUACGGAGGAACACCAGUGGCGAAGGCGGAUUGCUGGACAGUAACUGACGCUGAGGCGCGAAAGCGUGGGGAGCAAACAGGAUUAGAUACCCGGGUAAAC
rnacentral:rRNA from 1 species